UUACAGUGUCUGUGACAGUGCGGAGUAGUACGGAACCAGACCGCUAUACGUACAUGACGAGUUCCGGAUACUGGAAUACAGCUAACAUUGAAGACAGAGACGAUUUAUCUUAUAUAUGUGAAUACCAUAUACUUGCAGAUUGUGGUACAAUAGAGAUUGGAAACGGAAGUACGAUUUCCCAGAAUACAACAGAAUGAAGUGUGCAUGACGUCAAUUGUGACGUUGGUUAUUUUGCUGUUAAUUCCACGACAUCGUGUCGUUCAAAUGGUGAAUGGUAUCCAACUCCAACAUGUACUCCAGUGCAAGCAGUGGUCGACUGUGGAACGCUUAUAAUUGAUAACGGAAGUACAAUAUCUUACAAUACAACUGAAGGAAAUGUUCACGAAAUCACGUGUAACUAUGGUUACAUACAGUCAAACUGUACAACACAGUGUCAGAGUGAUGGAGCCUGGUACCCUGUCCCGGCAUGCGUUCUUGACACGACCGGGAUAUGUUCGUGUGAAACAGAUAACUUCAAUAUCACAAACUUAGACGAAACUGUUAAUGACAUCAUUAAGAACUUGACAAUAAAUCGAGCACAACUGUCUCGAACUAGGCGGAAACUGUCGUCUGCAGAUGAUGGCCGGGUGUCGUCCCAGUGUUUAGGCUGGUCAGGAAUUGUACUACUAGCUGGCGUUUGUUUUGUUCUAGUGUCCAGCGACGUAAUUAAUCUACUUUCCUUGUUACUUGGAAGAACACGAGAAAUACAGGCAGUAAUAAACGAUUAGCUUUCGUAUCCAUUAACAAUAUAAUGCCAAUAAUAUGUUAUAUAUAUAUGUGUAUUAAUAUAUGUGUUUUAAAUAUAGUAAAAUGAACGUUUCUUAUGUAAUAUAUAUUUUUUUUUUAAUUCCGCUCAGUUCUGGACUAGAAUAACUGACCACGAAUGUUAUGCACACCUUAAUUUAAUUAUAUAUUCUGAGCGAGCUUGUACACGUAAAUAAGGGGUUUCAUUACAUUCCUAUGGUGUGAUACACGGUCUACUAAUUUUUUGCUAGAAUGACGUGGCUUGGCUUACCAUCUUAUUUAAAUAAUUAUCUUGACUACCUCAAUGCCAGGUAAAAAGAGAUCAGUUAUACUAUUACAGUAGAACUACUUUCCCAGAAAAAUAUCUACUAACGUAAUUUGCAUCCACAUUAAUUUGUUUAAUACUCGAUGCUCUCUAUUUUAAUAUUGUAUUAUGUACAAUG